AUGUUGGGGAGACACCCAGAGCCCAAGCGCCUGAGACAGGACCCCAGCGGCUCCACCAUGGACUGGGUGCCAAGCUGCGCUUUCCUCCUGAUCAUUUCUCAAGGUGUCCAGUGUGAGGUGCAGCUGGUGGAGUCUGGGGGAGGCCUGGUGCAGCCUGGGGGGUCUCUGAGACUCUCCUGUGCAGCCUCUGGAUUCACCUUCAGUAGCUACUGGAUGCACUGGGUCCGCCAGGUUCCAGGGAAGGGGCUGGAGUGGAUCUCAUUCAUUAGUAGUGAUGGUAGUAGUUACAUAUACUACGCUGAUUCUGUGAAGGGCCGCUUCACCAUCUCCAGAGACAACUCCAAGAACACGCUGUAUCUGCAAAUGAGCAGCCUGAGAGCCGAGGACACGGCGGUGUAUUACUGUGCAAGAGACACCACAGCCCCUGGUGUGGAAGGAGAGGUCCCUGGGCACGGUGACCAGGACCCCAAGGAGGGCCUGGUUCUCUGA